rnacentral:rRNA from 1 species
UACGUAGGGGGCAAGCGUUGUCCGGAAUUAUUGGGCGUAAAGAGCUCGUAGGCGGCUUGUCACGUCGGGUGUGAAAGCCCGGGGCUUAAUCCCGGGUCUGCAUUCGAUACGGGCUAGCUAGAGUGUGGUAGGGGGAGAUCGGAAUUCCUGGUGUAGCGGUGAAAUGUGCAGAUAUCAGGAGGAACACCGGUGGCGAAGGCGGAUCUCUGGGCCAUUACUGACGCUGAGGAGCGAAAGCGUGGGGGAGCGAACAGG